UACAGAGGGUGCGAGCGUUGUUCGGAAUUAUUGGGCGUAAAGGGUGCGUAGGUGGCAGGGUAAGUUUGAUGUGAAAUCUCCGGGCUUAACCCGGAAACUGCAUUGAAUACUAUCCUGCUCGAGGUUUGGAGGGGGGACCGGAAUUCUCGGUGUAGCAGUGAAAUGCGUAGAUAUCGAGAGGAACACCAGUGGCGAAGGCGAGUCCCCGGACAACACCUGACACUGAGGCACGAAAGCUAGGGGAGCAAACAGG
rnacentral:rRNA from 1 species